rnacentral:rRNA from 1 species
UACGUAGGGUGCGAGCGUUGUCCGGAAUUAUUGGGCGUAAAGGGCUCGUAGGCGGUCUGUUGCGUCAGGAGUGAAAACUCGGGGCUUAACCCCGAGCCUGCUUCUGAUACGGGCAGACUAGAGGUAUGCAGGGGAGAACGGAAUUCCUGGUGUAGCGGCGAAAUGCGCAGAUAUCAGGAGGAACACCGGUGGCGAAGGCGGUUCUCUGGGCAUUACCUGACGCUGAGGAGCGAAAGUGUGGGGAGCGAACAGG